rnacentral:rRNA from 1 species
AUUGAACGCUGGCGGCAGUCUUAACACAUGCAAGUCGAGCGGAUGAGAGGAGCUUGCUCCUUGAUUCAGCGGCGGACGGGUGAGUAAUGCCUAGGAAUCUGCCUGGUAGUGGGGGACAACAGUUGGAAACGACUGCUAAUACCGCAUACGUCCUACGGGAGAAAGCAGGGGACCUUCGGGCCUUGCGCUAUCAGAUGAGCCUAGGUCGGAUUAGCUAGUUGGUGAGGUAAAGGCCCACCAAGGCGACGAUCCGUAACUGGUCUGAGAGGAUGGUCAGUCACACUGGAACUGAGACACGGUCCAGACUCCUACGGGAGGCAGCAGUGGGGAAUAUUGGACAAUGGGCGAAAGCCUGAUCCAGCCAUGCCGCGUGUGUGAAGAAGGUCUUCGGAUUGUAAAGCACUUUAAGUUGGGAGGAAGGGCAGUAAGUUAAUACCUUGCUGUUUUGACGUUACCGACAGAAUAAGCACCGGCUAACUUCGUGCCAGCCGCCGCAGUAACAC